rnacentral:rRNA from 1 species
AAGCCUGUCCCAGUUCGGACUGGAGUCUGCAACCCGACUCCACGAAGUUGGAUUCGCUAGUAAUCGCGCAUCAGCCAUGGCGCGGUGAACACGUUCCCGGGCCUUGUACACACCGCCCGUCAAGCCAUGGGAGCCGGGGGCGCCUGAAGUCCGGGACCGCGAGGACCGGCCUAGGGCGAAACUGGUAACUGGGGCUAAGUCGUAACAAGGUAGC